rnacentral:lncRNA from 1 species
GUUCGAUUAAGUUGUUCUUUUGGAAGUCUGUUUUCUUGGUUAAUAGCUUAGAUUUAUUUACUCUUUAUUCACCAAUACAACAUGCAUUUGUUAUCAAGCAGGAGGUGUUGUAUCUGAUGGAACAAGCAAUCGGGUGCAAAACUCUUCCCUGAUCUGGGACAGCACAACAUAAGGAUAAACUACAGAAAUCAGUUUAACAGGUCUUAAUUCAGC